rnacentral:rRNA from 1 species
UACCUGGUUGAUCCUGCCAGUAGUCAUAUGCUUGUUUCAAAGAUUAAGCCAUGCAUGUCUCAGUAUAUGUUCUUGUACUGCAAAACUGCGAAUGGCUCAUUACAACAGUUAUAGUUUGCUUGACAAUCGUUCUUUACAUGGAUACCCAUAGUAAUUCUAGAGCUAAUACAUGCGCCCAAACCCGACUCACGAAGGGUUGUGCUUAUUAGAUACCGAACCAACCCAGGCUUGCCUGGUGACUGUUGAUUCAUGAUAUCCUAGCGGAUCGCACGGCUUGUCCGGCGAUAAGACAUUCAAGUUUCUGACCUAUCAGCUUCCGACGGUAGGGUAUUGGCCUACCGUGGCUUUGACGGGUAACGGGGAAUUAGGGUUCGGUUCCGGAGAGGGAGCCUGAGAAACGGCUACCACAUCUAAGGAAGGCAGCAGGCGCCCCCCCCUCCCCCCCCCUGACACAGGGAGGUAGUGACAAAAAAAUACCAAUACGAGGCUUUCUGCUUUGUAAUUGGAAUGAGAAGAACACAAACCGCUUUCCGAGUAACAAUUGGAGGGCAAGUCUGGUGCCAGCAGCCGCGGUAAUUCCAGCUCCAAUAGC